GACUUGAAAGAAGAGUGCGUGAAGCUUCGGACCCGUGUUUUUGACUUGGAGCAGCAAAACCGUAUACUGAGUGUGCUGUUUCAACAACGUGUCAAAAUGUCCAGCAACCCCGUGUCCCAGGACGUCCAGCGGAAUGGAAAAGCAGGUGUUGCUGCAGGAAGGUGGCCCAGCCUGCUGAGUCUGACAUGCCCACGCAGCAGUGGCAGUGGUAGUGGCAGUGAACUUUCAUUAUCAAGCGCCUGUAGUGAGUACUCCAGCGGUUCCCACACCUGGGCUGAAGGACGUGGUUUAUCCAAACAGUGUGGCUCAAACCGAGACAAAAGGAUGAGCACAGGGUCUGUUUCCAGCAAUCACUCAGAACCUAUCAAGCAGACAGACCUGGGAUGGAAAGAAGGACAUAUUCUGAAAGGCCUGAAGCAUCUCCAGAUGCACAGCUCUAAAGAGGCGACCUCACUUGUAUCCGCUCCACACUGCAAAGAUUGUAUGACAUCAAAUGAGGGCAUAUACUCACUUGGUGUCAAGUCUGGGCAGCGAGAGACUACAACCAAGCCAAUAGCCCCAACAAAUAAACCCCCCAAGAUUGAAGCAGGGUGUACUGCCCUAGACUCUGAUGAUGCAGAUGAUAAUUCACAUAAAUUGCAAAGCGAAUCUAAUGACACUCCAGUAAAAGAGCUUCUUUGCUUGGAGAAACUGGGGGAUGAUGACACCAAUUCUCAAGAAAACCUUGUAAAACUUGCAGUAGACUGUGGUCUUUUUCCAUCACCUGUAUCAGGCAACCUAUUAUUUUUGGAUAGCCCCAAACUUAGACCUGGUGUAAGCCCAACAGACAGCCUUACAUAUACAGAGGAAACCAACAGAAACACAUUGGGCAAAAAGCUUAGUGACAGAAACAACAACCAGGAAAGGUCAGCUGACCGUAAAUCGAGGCUUGAUCACAUUAAAAGACAAGAUGGCAGGUUAGUGACUAACCAAGUGGAAUCAGGGAUGGCUGACAUGAGCAUGUCUAUUCAAAACAGUGUGGCAAGAGCUCUUAGUCUGAAUGACGCCAGGCAGCGCAGCUCCUCAGUGGAGGUUGGUCAUUACAGAGACCAGGCAAGUCAAGUCGGUGGUAAAAGUCAGCACCACAGCAUAUCAGAAGCUUCCCAGAGGAAACCAAAACCUCAGCCGUGUGAUUCAGCCAGGAAGGCUUUUAUUCUGCGGAGCAAGAGUGCAGAUGCAGGACCGGACCAAGCUAAGCAUACCCAUUCUCCUCUCCACCAAAAGCUUAUUAGUCAGAAACCAAAAGAACAGUCAAACCAUACUGGACCCAGUGCAUCCAGCAAAAGAGCAAAUGUCAAGAAAACACACAGUUCAAGCAAAGGAGCCUUACCUAGAGGUGAAAAAGAUGAGAAUAUUGCUGCGUCAGCAAAUUCAAAGUCUCUGGAAAGUGUCCAACAGCGCUCUCCUCUGGCUUCUCCUGUGAAACACUCAAAGACAGUUAAGCCUCCAGGGAUCAAUGAACGCUCCCAACAAAUGAGCCCAACAAAAGCAAGUUUGCAAAUCACAAGGCCUCAAUCAAGCUAUGAUUCUGUGGAGGAGAGCAUUUAUGACAACUUACCCUGCUCUCCAAGAAAACUGCGACGCCAAGACCAGCACUAUGAUGCUUCUGGUUCAAAACACAGGUCCCCAUCCCCUCCACUGCCUCCAGGUCGAACUUCUUCCCUUGUAUUUAGACCUGAUGGUGACACUUUACCCAAUGGCCAUAAAUGUGCAGGUCAAGGCUCUACUGCUGAGACAAUAGCCUCAGGUGCCAACAAGUCACACUCAAACCAGGUUCCAUCUGCUGUACAACCACAUCAAUCCAACCCAACUAAAGACAAUCAACAUCAAAUGGGUGCUGAAAAUAAUCCACCAAAAGACAUCCCCAACAAGAUGUACCACACUCACUCAUCCAAGAUACAGUCUGUCCCUCUUCAAGAAAGUCAAGCUUCAGAGUCAGUCCAGUUAUCGAUGGGCAGAACGUCCAUGUGCUAUGAUGAAAACGGUUCUUCCUCUGUGCUCCCCAACACAAGCAUCCUACAAAGAUCCCAACAGAGCAUUAGUGAGCCAAAACUUUCCGAAGUCUUGCCGCAGGCAUAUUCUAAUGUUUACCACCAUGGGAUUGCCAAUAAUUCUCACACUUCUGUCAAAAUGGCUCUUCCCGUAAAUGCAAAAUCUCAUGAAGCAAUCGCUGGACAGGAAACAAGCACCUUUCUCGUCUUUGGAAGACAUAACAAAGAAGAAACAAACUCUAAAAGUUUCCAGACCUUCCAGACUUUUACGUGUGAUCCCCAGAUGAUACACGAACGUGGUGUUCAUGACAAAGCUCGCAGGAAGAUCGAGACCCGCUGUAACUCAUUAGAUUCUGAGCCAUCCAUUCAGCCCACAGCAUCAGACAGCGGUGUGAUGUUAGACUGGGGAUUUGAUGAGGAAGGCUGGUUGUUUAAAAGGUCUGUGUCUGUAUCAACCAGGCCUCUUCUUAAACCAGUAAUGGGCAUGAAUGGUGCCAAGGCUCGUAGCCAGAGCUUUGGCGCUCGUUACAUGGACAGGCCAAGCUUCAACCGUUCUGGAAAGGUUCGGACACAGAUUAAAACCCACUCAGGGAGCUCCCUGAACUCACUUGGAGAUGUCCUUCCAGGGAGUAUGAGUUGCUCUAGUAGCUACCAUUGUCCAAUGAAUCGAUCUCUUCUGAACAACUUCUUGAUUGAAGAGGGUUUGACCGGUCCCUCGCAUUUAGGAUCGUCUAGUGAAAGACUUCAAAGUCUUAAACUCCAACGGGAGCAUGCUAGGCGCCUGCAGAUCGAGCAACAGUUUUCCAGCGCAUUCGGGGAGCCAGUAUCUGAAGAGCCAGAGAGACAAAGUACUAUAACCACAAUUGAGGAGAAAGUUAUGCUUGGCAUAGAGGAGAACUUGCACAAGUCUCAGGAGCAGGAGAGAAGCAGUGAGGUGAAACCAAAACCCAGUUCAACCUUGGCAAAUUGGUUUGGUUUUCGCAAGAGCAAGCUUCCUGCUCCAAGUGGCAAAAAAACUGAUCCACCAAAAGUAAAAGAGGACAAGAGGGAGCAGAAGAUUACAUCACUUCUGGGAGGAAAGCAGAUAAAGUCUGACAAAAAGAGAGACAGAAGAAAAAGUGAUGGAAAAGACUGCUCAGUGGGAAGGAGAGAGUCCCAUGAUGCAGUGCGGGCGUGCAUAUCAAUGCCCUGCCCUGGAAUGUCCAUGAAUGAAAUACAAGGACACGGUGACUUCACCGGAGAACCGAAGAUGAUGAGCCGAAGAUCUGAUGGUGAAAAUGGAUCGACCCACCAGGAAGCAGUAAUAGGCUCCGGCUGCAAGAUGCGAACAUUGGACAGUGGAAUUGGGACCAUCCCCCUUCCUGAAUCCUGUUCCUUUUUCUCCUCAUUUCUGCACCUCCUUCCCAAAUCGUCAUCCACCCCAGAGCAGUCCCUCAGCCCUCCCAGUGUUCCCAGUUCCUCCAGUGGGGACGUGUCUCCUUCCCCGCUACCCCGGUGGAGAAUUCCCUCUGGCUUUAAGGACAGCAGCUAUGCAGGGGUGCCCACCUCUUCCAUGACCCAUAUCCAAUCGGUGCCUUUCCCCACUGUGGCCUUCCUCCAGCCCGUACAACCCCAGUCUGAACACCUUGUGUGUGAUACACAGAGCAGACUACCCAGACCACCACAAGGUGGAGUGGAACCAAAGAUGAUGACCUACAUUAAAUCGAAAACACGAGCCCCCCCGAGCCAACAGAAGGAACAGACCAGACUCCAGCUCGCCAACUGUGAGACCACACAGACCCACAUCCAGUAAAACACGUCCAGACUAUAGCACCCCUUCCUGAAUCAACCCAUUUUAUCCUAUCAAUGCUCAUUCUUCUCUGUACCUUCUGCCAUUUCAGAGUCUCUGCGGCGGAGUGAAGCAAAUGAUCCGUUUCACAUGGAGGAUCCCUGAAUCCCACAGUCUGAACUCGGUCUCAGGAUGAAACCUUCAAAGAGGACAAGUGGGCCCGGCAUCGCAGGCUUCCACCUGAGCACAGAGCGGUUCUCAGACACUGAGUAGCGUCGGGUGAUGCAGUGAACCACCUGUCUCCUACUUAUCUAUUUACUUGAUCCAACUUCUUAUCUACAACUUAUAUAGUUUUCCAGACGGUUAUAGCGUAGCAUUAGCAUUAGCAUUAGCAUGGUUAUCUAUGGUCAGUACUGGUGUUUCAAACAAGCCAAAGCAUGUUCCCCUCUCUGAGGCGAAGACGGGGCGACGGCACAGGAUGAGCAUAUUUCCACACUGUGGGUGUGGUGGUUUUCGAUACUUACCUCUAAUUAACAGCAGGUUUAAUGCUGCCACAUGAUCAGGACUGCUCUCACAUGGACGGGGUCAUAAUGUAUGAGCACAAACGACCAGUCAAGUCAAUGCAGGCCAACAGUGUCACUUUGUUUGUGGUUUACAGGAUUUUAGAUGCCUGGAUAAUGAUCUGGACUGUACAAAUAAUAAUACAAAUACCAUUAUUUAAUAUUUGUGACUAAAAAUAAGAUUAAAAUGUGAAUUUAGACGUAAACUUAGUAUUUAAUUAUUUAAAACCUAUCAUAUCAGAAAUGUAAUUAUUUAUUUUUUGAAUGUAGCCAUUUUUAAGCACAGAGUUACAGCAUGUCCCUGUUUGGCCAACUUAAACAAAAACCGCAGUCCCACUUCUGAUCUUAGAGGCCAAGUCAGCACAUAUGUAAAUGACAAUAAGUAUAAGAUGAACAUAAAUCUGGAAUAUAGCUGCACUAUUUAUUUGAUUUUCUUCAGUGUAUCCUCUUGAAAAGCACAGAUCAGACUACAGCUGGUUUAGAGGCAGGGAAAUAACCCAGGUUUUGUCUCCUAUGACACAAAGACACAAGUAAAGUGAAAAACUGUCAUGACGUAUGGAUGAUGAAUGUACAGAGGGUUGUUUAGACUUAUCGUACCUGACGUCACCUUCACUUCAGCAUAACGUCUAUGAUUCUAGAUGAUUAGACAAAGCUGCUUGUUUAAAGCUGCUCUAAAUACUUGACUUUGCAUUGCAUUUGUGUGACGUAUCUGCUCAUUAGGCUUCUGUAAUGGCACCAGCUGUGGAAAGUAGUGGAGAUCACCGAAGCGAAGACAUGACCUCUGGUAAAACCCGCAUAUAGGAUGUUUAUGAUGUUUAUGUGAACGUCUACGACUACUAUGAUUACAGGACUAAUAUAUUUGAGUAAAUCAUCAGAGGAAACCUUGAACCUCACAAAUGAUCGUCUGCAUACUCUGUGUACAGCACAUUCAUCAGCUCUAUCAAUGUGACUUUGCCGUGUGCACUAACCUUUUUUUCUAUUUUUGCAGUAAUCAUGUUUAUUUGCAUGCAACCAGCCUCAGGCUUAUUCUAACUCAUCAUAUGAAUAUACUGUAUAAUAUUCUCAUUUGAAGAGUCUCAUCACAGGAAGUGAACAAAUGUGAAACCGCCACUGUUGAGUAUUUAUGAAGUAUCACACAGAAACCUGUAACUACUUUUUAACCGUGAUUCUGUCUCUCAUAUCCACAGAUGUUCUUGAAUUUGUGUGUGAAUUGCUUUCAGCUGUUUUCGGAGAGUACUACAGUUAUGACAUCAGGACAAAGCAGCGGUUGUGCAUGUGAACCUGUAGCCAGUAGGCACGUUGUGAACAAUGUUGUGUUGCUCAGGGAAAACACCUUAUUGUCGCUGAUAGAUGCUGUGGACAGGCUCUUUGUUGCGGUCAGUGAACUCACCACGACACUGUCACGCUGUGGACAUUUACUUCCUGUCUGUUUCUUCACGCCACAGUUGCUCCGUUUUGUCCUUAGUGGUUUGUUUUUGGUGUUACCAUCAUAUCCUGACAUAUUUGACUGUAGGCGCUUUGCACACACACACACCCCCCCCCCACACACACACACACAUCCUUCCAACAUCCAAACCUCAAUUCUAACCUCAGCCCUAAAAUGACAUCUUGACCCUAAAAAAGGCCUUUGGGCCCUACUUCGAUGUAACUGCAAGGACACACACACAAACAGAACACAGAAAUUUGCCUAAAUGCAUUUUGCCAAAUGCUACUUGGAGCUAAUAAAAAACACAUGCAAGUAAAUCGACA
rnacentral:lncRNA from 1 species